UGGCUCAGGACGAACGCUGGCGGCGUGCCUAAUACAUGCAAGUCGAGCGGACCGACGGGAGCUUGCUCCCUUAGGUCAGCGGCGGACGGGUGAGUAACACGUGGGUAACCUGCCUGUAAGACUGGGAUAACUCCGGGAAACCGGGGCUAAUACCGGAUGCUUGAUUGAACCGCAUGGUUCAAUCAUAAAAGGUGGCUUUUAGCUACCACUUGCAGAUGGACCCGCGGCGCAUUAGCUAGUUGGUGAGGUAACGGCUCACCAAGGCGACGAUGCGUAGCCGACCUGAGAGGGUGAUCGGCCACACUGGGACUGGGACACGGCCCAGACUCCUACGGGAGGCAGCAGUAGGGAAUCUUCCGCAAUGGACGAAAGUCUGACGGAGCAACGCCGCGUGAGUGAUGAAGGUUUUCGGAUCGUAAAACUCUGUUGUUAGGGAAGAACAAGUACCGUUCGAAUAGGGCGGCACCUUGACGGUACCUAACCAGAAAGCCACGGCUAACUACGUGCCAGCAGCGGC
rnacentral:rRNA from 1 species